CCUCAAGAAGGAGCUAAAGGAAACAAAAAGGCCAAGAACGUACCUAGCAUGUAUUUUACAAUAUCAAUAUGGAAUCCUCUUAAUAGCCUAUGUUAUAACAACUUUAAUAACUUCUUAGCUCAUUUUCAUGUGUGAAAAAUUACCUGUAAAAUCACAGAUGACAGAUCGUUUGCACUUAAGGGGCCUUUGGGGUCCAGGGAUUCCCAGCCAGAAGAUCACAGGUUCCCAGGGAUCUUCCAAAGUAUGAAAGGAGUCCAUGAGUUGCUGUCAACAUCUCUUAAUGUGAAACAGUAUUUGUGCAUUUACUCAUAAUAAAGACUGCACAGGCUAACUAGUGGGUUAAAUUUUUUUUGCCAUGGGAUGGAAUUAAACCAAUUACAUUGGUUGGUCACCUCCUGGUAACCAGAGGCACUGAUUGUACAGUAAAUGGAUGUUGUGCAAUUAAAAAAAUGGGAAAACAAGUUCUUGCUUAGAACAGCUUUAUGGCUGAUAGAAAUCUUAUUUAAUAUGGCACCCAUGGUGGUGAGUGAUGAGGGAUGAUGAAAAAUAGUGCACUAUUUGAUGGCAAAAGGGUACAUGCAGAACUGCUAGUCAUACCAGCUCUGGAAGGUGGUUUUCUUCUAAGCCAGAGCAGCCUUCUCAUGGUACAGAUUAAGAAGCUGAGACCAGUCCUUGGUGAUGCACUGGCUGGAAUCCAAGGCCCAGCUCCCAACUUUUAGUCCAUGUCCCUUACCUUUCCUCCUGCCCUGGCUCCUGUUGCUGUGCCUAGGAUGUAUCUGAGAAUUGGAAACGUCAGCCAGAGUCACAGGAGCUAGGGACUGCAAAACUGUUGGCCAUCCUCAGAUGUGCUUGUGGGCUGGCUUUGUCACAAUUUAGAGAUUGCAGCUCUAGGUUGGCUGGCUCUGGUUGCUCAGGGCGCUGUGGCACUCUUCUCCACAGAGCCUGUGGUCUGGGCCUCCUUAUUGGCCUCUGGUCUCCACUCUUCUCCCAAGGAAACAAAGAGCCAAACCCACUUGGCACUCUUUCCACUGCUUCGAUGGAGACUGGGGUCCAGAGAACCUGCCCCCUCUGAACAAUGACCCUUCUGUUUCCCGCAAGACAGUUUGUUUCUGUGGACUACGGACAUAUUCUCCUUUGGUAAGCUCUCCCCAUUUCUGUCUGGCACCUGACAAAAUCUCCUCCUAAGGGCAGGACUCCAGCAAGAAGCCUGCCAAAGUCUGAAAUCUGAUCCUCCCUCUCUGUAGCAUCCGAGGACACGUGUGUGUGUGUGUGUGUGUGUGUGUGUGUGUGUGCAGGCACACACACGGGCCAAAACAGGGAGGCUUCUCUAAUACUCUGCUACUAAGCACAGUCACAGACGUGGCCUCUCUGAGGUGACAGGGUCUCUCGAAGCCCCACAGCCCAACCUGAGAACUGCCGCAGUGAUGUGAAUGCCACCACAUGGUCCUGCCACUUUGGGGGUGACCCUCAGGAGUGACAGCUGGUGAGGCAGCUAGGGUUUUCCUCUCCUGAGGGCCUGAGUGUCUGGAGUGUUUUUCCAGUCAGUAUCUGUCCUUGCCAAGAGAAAAUUGCUCCCUUCCCCCAUCCAAAAAUAAAAUAAAAUAAAAUAAAAAUUUAAAAAUCUCACAGAGUUUGGCUGCUUUUAGCAAUCUUUUCUUCCUUUGAAGAUUUAUUCAUGGAAUGAAAAUCCCCCUCAGGCCGAUUUGGCUGAUGCUAGGAGGGCUCUGAGUAAGCUUGCUCUCCUAGUUCUCAGGGAGCAAAGUCAAAUACCAGGACAAGAAGAAAUCCUGCACCUGGAGGAAAAGGGGCAAAGGCAGGUGGGGGAUGUGUGUCUCUAAGGUUCUGUAAUGAUUGCUUAGCUGUUGUGUAUCUUUUUUUUUUUUUUCUUUUCUAAGUAGGAUGCCCAAUGUGGGACUUGAACUCACCACCCUGAGGUCAAGAGUCACAUCCUUUACCAAGUGAGCCAGCUGGGCACCCCCGUUGGGUACCGUUUUUGAUUCUGGACUAUGCUUUACCAGCAUUCACACAUCCAUCAGCCCGGGAGGCUGGUCUUUGAAGGCAGGUGAGGACAGUUAAGGCCCAGGUGGGCAAGAUGGCUGAUUAGAACAAGUCCCAAAUGCCUAGAAACUAAGGCAGGCCACCUGGCUGCAACUGAGCUCAUGUCCAGGAAGGCUGCUUCCUGGGUCCCGACCAAUGAAGACUAGAAACUAGAAACCAUCUGGGUGAGUAGAGGCAACCCCAGAAGCAGGUCUACACUCACACCCUACUUUGAUUGCCAGGUGGACUUCUGAGAGAGACGGCAGAGCUUUGCCUUCCCUCUGCACUUUUUUGUCUCCAGCUCACCCUCCAGCUGUUGAGAAUCAUCCCAGUCCCCACUUACCCAAUGUUUAUUGUGUGCUGUAACUGCACUGGCUGUUUUACAAGCCCAAGGGUCCCCCUCACGUGCUUCUCACAUCUACACGCCGAGGGUUAGUCUAUAGAUGCAUUUGAGACUGUAGUUCCUUCAAAAUGCAAAGCUAGACAGGAAUGGUAUCAUAGUAUCUGACGUGAUGAAUGAGCCUGCUCUCUUUUCUCUCUCCCACAAAAAGCCUUUCUGAACAUGAGCUGUGCCAGAUUUAUGAUAGGUCAGGUUACAAAAGUUCCUGGUUAAGCCAGUUGUUUGUCACUCUGAGCACAUUUCCCCAUAGAAACAAUGUUAUGUUGAGGUUGGGUUCCCAGGCUAACCUAUACAAGCCAAUUAACCCAUUAUGUGUCUAGCUUUGGGAACAGCUUGGUGGAGCUGAAGCUGCUCUAGUUGGAAGCCAGAGAGGCAUGAGUUCCAGCCACGGCUCAGUCACUUACUUGCCAUGAAGUCUUGGGCAAGUCGUUGAGUCUCUGUGCCUUAGUUUCUUUAUCUUGUAUUGGGAUGAUAUUUUAUGUACCUUGCAGGGUUGUUGGGAAUAUUGGGAAUGGGUUCUAUGAUAUACCCUCGAAUAAUGGCACAACAGAAUUCCAUGGCCCUGUAUAAAAACUGGCUUUGUGGCCUCAUGGAUUCUGAGUUCCAACAUGCAAUAUGAGCGGCGCACCGUGCUUGCUGAAUUUGGAUUGGAGAAUCUUUGCUUUCCUUGGGAAAGGGACAUGGCGACUCUCAUGCCCUCAGAUCCCUGCUGGCGACCCUGAAGUCUGGGCUGGAGUUCUUAUCAGAAUGGGACUGGAGGUGCCAGAGGGAAGUGGGAAGUAGCAGAGGCAGGAAGGCGAGUCAGAGCGCAACGUAGGUAUGCGUCCUCUCUCUUCCUUUUGCUAUCAUAAAACUACACAAAGAUCUGGUUACUUUUUCUUAAGUUUCCGUGCCUUCCACACCACCAACCAGCUGGACACCUCCUGGUCAGAGUUAAAUACAGACUAGUUCCCUCCUUGCUUCCUCUACCUUUUAAGUCAAGAAAUUGUUAGCAAGGCGAGCCAACGAUUCAUGAGAUGGGGCAGAUGCCUGGAUAAAUACCCCCUUUCCCAUCCCUAUUCCAUCUUCUUCCUGUGCCAGUUUUAAAAAUCUUAACUAGGAAAGCAUCAGCCAGAGCCUCACUCUGCCUGAGAAGACUGGAGUAUACACUGCCAGCAAAAUCCUUUCUAUUUUGCCCUUUAGAAAAUCUCAUCCAUAUGCUCUCGGCUUUGCUUCCACUCUGAUGUUUGUGACUUCUGAUACUUGUGUAUGCACUCCCAACACCCACUGCAGGGACUGUGAUCAUGUGAACUUGCCACCCUCACCAGCACGGCAUUCUGGUUGUGCGUUCAAGCCCACCAAAUCUCCGCUGUCUUGGAGGUCUUGUUCACUCCCCUAAGAAACCCAACCCGUUUACUUUGCCCCCUCACUGUGCAGUUGGCAAACGUGUCGCCACUGUGGAUGUGACCCCGCUGCUCCUCCCUGCCAGUUCCUCGGGAGAACUGCUUGGCACCUCCUCUGCCAGGCUUCUUAUUUCUAGCUCACACCUGCUGCCCCUCCGUGGGCUGUGAUUUUAGAGUUUCAUUUGAACAUUCUACUUUAUCCCCUUUAAAUCUCAUUUUAAAGCUCUCCUGUUUGGUCUUCAAGUCUCUGGCCAAAAAUAUUCCUCUUGGUUUAUGUGACAAGCUCCUGAUUUCUUGCCAGGGGCCUGUCACUCCAGCACUGAGAUCCAUGGUCCAGAAGAAUAGUCAUUCUCAGAUCAGCUACAGAGCAGCUCUGUGUUCCCCAUACAUGCUUAUUGCUUCUAAAAUCAUGACUCAUGGCAGAGGAAGAGACUUGAGCAUCACCUCUGCCCCACAUCCCUUAGUUUCCUAUGUAAGGCAUCAGAGUCACUAGAGAUACUAAUGAGGAUUCUUCUGGAUGUGUUACUUGCCCCCACACCCACAGGAGGGAGAAAUAGUCGAGGGGUUAUAUAUGAGCAUGUAUACGCACCCCUUUCUUGUCUCUAGUGCAAGGGUUUUCACCAAAGUCAAUUCAGCAAAAUACUGAUUUCAUAAGAUGCUCUGGGGUAGGCGAAUUCUAUGGCCAAAUAAAUUUGAGAAACUAAAUAUCUUGCUUUUGCAUGGUUUCAAUAGGUUAGAAUCCAUACCAAAGGCUCUAAAAGAUCCUACCAAAAAGAAAUAUACAUAACAUGGGAUUUCCCAAGUGGAUUUGAUGAUUUCCUCUUGUGAGUUUUCUUGUAACUUCUCAUAGAAUGCGCUUUAACCAAUGCUACUUUGAUACACGCCUGAAGUGGACAACUUGAGAAGCUACCUUCACUGGCUCUCAUUAAACCUGCCUUCUCUUCUCCAGAAGGUCUACGUCUGUUCUCCUUGAAUACAGUAUCAGACUUUUAUAUUUUUCUCCCCAAACAGGGAUGGGGCAUUUCCAUGUUAUAUCUAUUUAUUCGUGAGACUCUGACCUUGCUUUAUGUUCCCUUGACCUUCUGAAUUUGUUUUCUUUUUAGAUCAUUUCUUUUAGGGCAUCAAGAAACCCUUCAUCAAUGCAAAUACACAGAUCUCUAAAGCUUCCUGAAGCCCAUUCAUUCACUCCUCUGCUAGGAGACCCGUUUAUCUGGGCAGUACCAGUAAAUUUGUCAUCAAGGUCAAGUAAGAAAAAUAAAUAAUUGGCCCCUAUCACAUCCCUGAGGUUCUAUUUCUCAGUGUCUUCAAUGUGACAACUUGGAGGCCUGAUCUUAUGGGGCCUGGAAUUGUGUUUAUUUGACUUGCACCAUGGUUUUUUAAGUUGGAAGAUUUUAUAUACACUCCUGGAGGCCAGCUUCUCUUGAGAAAUGGGAUUUGUUAAUACUGGGUUGCUCUCCAUCAUGGGAGCAAUUGGCUCAAGCUGAGUGCUGGCUGUUCCCAUGACAUAGGGCAGGUGCUCUCCUGUUUGCUAGAGCACACCCCCCCACCCCCCGAACCCCACAUCCUCUCACUUACCUCACUUAUAUUAACUACCUAGCCUCUGCUGCCAUUUGGAUUUGGGAUCCCUCACAGAGACCUUUGUAGUUCCCUCCUAGGAAUUUUCCUAGCACCUGCCUCAAAAGCGUCUCCUCUCUCUCCUUCCCCAUCUGAUUCUUCCCAUUUGAGCUGCCAGUGUUUUCAGUCACAAGUCCUAAUAUGUGUCUAACAUCAAGGGCUGACCAGCUGUGUCAGAGUAAGAACUGAAGCUGUUGGCAUUGCACUGAUCAUAUACUCAGAAAUAGAAUAUCAUCCCAAGUCCACUUCUUCUGAGAAAAAAAAAAAUUUCAGUCACCCUGUGUUUACAGGUCAGAUACAACAUGGUAGGCUAUCAACUGACGAUCACAGAACACUAAGUAACGAACUUGUCCUUUACUGAAGAAGUAGCUUAAGCUCAUGUUUACCUUUCCCCCGAAUUUUCCACUUGGCACAAACGAUGAUUAUUAUGAAUGCUAACAUUAUGCUAUCAAGUCUUGAUUAUUAAAGGACAAAUGAUUAUCCAGUCCUCAAAUCUCUUCUAACUCAUUGACUUAUUGCUGUUUCAUUUUUCUUUAGUAUAGUUAUCUCUAGCUUGGUGGAGAGCAAAAUUAAAAGUACAAAUCAUGAAGCAGCCAAUCAGCUCAAAUCAGAGGGCAUCUUGUUUGAUUCUCUUUGCCUCAACCCUGCACAUGUCUGCAGAAACCCUGAUUAUGAGCACCCUCCAUUCCUCUCCCUGCCCAAGUUCAGGGACAAGGUAAUACGGAAGAGGAAAGGGAGAACCUGAUGAAUGAGAAUGCUAAUUAAUGGGAAUGUAUUGAUAGCUCCAAUAAAAGCUUCACUGAGACUAACAGUUGGGGGUUUUAAUUUACCCCCAAUGUUCCUACCCACCUCUUGCCCUGUGGUAAUCCCAAACUGGAGAUUACAGACACACUUUCAGCCCCCUGAGUUCAAAGGCAAGGUAGGGUACUUGGCUUGAUUGGCACUUUGGAACACUCUCCAAAAAAGGUCCACUUUUGAGAUUAAAGGGACCCUUCAUUCAAUAGAAUAGAAAACAUCUUGUUACUAGACAGUGGGUAGUUUCAAUCUAAGUGUAGGCUCAAUAAACAUGACUGUGCAGCAUUUAUGUAAGUCCCUGACGCUUUAGCAAUUGGAGGGUAUAAGUGCAUUCUUGGAAUGAAGAGAGCCUCUCUCUCAUUGAAGAGCAUUAGAAGAUAGGGAAACUGCUUUCUGAGUGAAAGGUGAAGUGGCAGGGCCAAAAGAAAAAAGAAAUUUAAACACUCAUACAAUCUUCAAAGUAGAGCUCUAUAAUCUUCAAAGUGGAGAUUUGAUGAUCCCUCUCAGAGAGGUGUUUACAGAAGGAUGCUUACAUUGGGAGGGGAAACCUAAAGGCCUGCCCAAAGCUUGGAGUCUGCAAGUUAUUAUUACAGUUAAGAACCACAACACUAUAUGUCUAAAUGAGAGAGCCUAUACAAUGUAGUUGCUUAUAUACUACUGCAUGUUCUUCUUACAGAUGCCCAUAAUAAUCAAUAGUAUCAUACCAACAUCUGAAACAUUUCAAUUCCACUCAUUUAUCCACUCUCAUUCUCAUAAGCAUCCUGUGAGAUAGCUGUAAUUUCCAUUUUACAUACCAGAAAAUGAAGAAUCAGAGAAGUGAGUAACUUUCCCAAGGGCAGAGAGUAAGAAAGAGGCAGAGUGGAAGCUGAAACUCAGCGCUGAUUUUUGGAUGCAGCAAAACCCAGGGAUUAGUAUCUACAUUUCAUGUAAAGGGAAACGCAGCCUAACAUAUGGAGUUGUAAAGCCAUUUGCCCAGGGUUUCUGGAGAGAUAAUUUACUUAUUUCACAGGAGAGUUACUGAGUUUCCUGAUAAGUACAGCAAAAGGCUGCUUUCAAAAUCUUUGGCCAAAUAACAAAUCCAUUAACAUUUUCUUGAGUAAAUGUUGAUUUAAGUGAAGAAUUAAAAUUAAUCGUCACUUGAAUCUUUCUUGAGAAUAUCUAUUGUUUUUCAAUCUCUUUUUUCAUAAAACAUGUGCAAGUAUGAACAGUUUAAGGAAAAUAUAUCAUACUGCAUAUGCUAAUCACAUCAGCUCUAAAUAUAAAGAUGGACUCUGGUGUAUCACAGAAAUGCCCCUAAUGCAGAAGGAUGAUAAUUCUCCAAAGUUCUAAUUAGUAGAGAAUAACAGAGGGAUAAUUAACUCUGAUACUCUUUCCUUUGGACGUAAAAAACCAAGUAAACAAAACCAUGUUAAGCUAAGUUUAGAGACCACCUAAGUCAACUUCUGGAUGAGAGAAUAUGAAAUCGUGGUAGUGAGGAAGAGAGAAUGACGUGUGGAAUUUUGUUCAAUGUGAAUUUCUACUUCCACAAUCAAACAGCACACUUCACAGUUCCGGCCUUGUGAAAAAAGCCCAAUGCUUGGUUUCCACGGUUUUUCUGGCCCUGAUAUGCACGAACUCCCCCAGGUUAGCAGAGCUGGUUCUCUCCUGACAGCCCUCUUUCCGGCUCCCUGAGGGUUACCUCCUCUCCAGUCUCUCUGGGUCCCUCUCUGACCUAACACCCUGUACACCCAUACAUUUCAGGAUAAAGGUCCCUGUGUUCCUAGAACUCUGAAAUUUGGGCUCUGGAAAGAUUUUUAAAGACAAUGCAUUCCUUCACUGACCUGUUCAAAACAUAUCUGCUGAUUGACUACCUCCCCGUCCACUCCCUCACCUGUAGGAAAAAGUGCAACUCCUGGGAACAGCAUGGAGAUCCUGCUGUGGCUGCCUCCCACCUGCCUUCCCAUGCCGUCUCAGAACCAUUUGCCUCUCUCUUCACAUCCAGUGUCCUCCAGCAUGUCUGCCCUUUGCCCAGCCUACUUCUCCCCUCCUAGCACACACCUGGCUCCUACUUUCUUCGGGCAUUCCCAUUUCUUUCUCAGGCUCAAAUGCAACUUUCUUUCUGAAGUCUAAUCCUACUUUCUCAGUUAGGUGCUCCCACAACACACUCAACUAUUCAUGGCUCCUUGUUAAGACAAAGCCCACCGUAUUAUAUUGUAUUUCCUUCUUUUGUGAGGGCUUCAGGGAGGGUAGGUAUGGUUGGUUAAACUGUGUUUUCCAAGAAGCUAUGUUGAAGGCCUAGCCCCAUACUUGUGAAUGCAACUGUAUUUGGAAAUAGGGUCUCUGCAGAUGUCCUCAAGCUAAGGUGAUGUCACACUGGAUGAGGGUGGGCCAAAUCCAAUGACUAGUGUCCUUAUAAGAAAAGAGAAAUUUGGACAGAGAGACACAGAGACACAGAGGGAGAAUGCAUGUGAAGAUGAAUGCAGAGUUUGGAGUUUUGCAGCUCUAAGCCAAGAAUUGCUGGCAACCACUGGAAGCAAGAAGAGAGGCAUGGAUGGAACAGAUUCUCCCUCAGAGCCUGGGAAGGAACCAAUCCUGCUGACACCUUGAUUUCAGACUUUUAGCCUCCAGAAUUGUGGAAGAAUUAAUUUCUGUUGUUGCAAGUCACCUAGUUUGUGGUGAUAAUGUCAGGUGGCCUUAGGAAACGAAUACAGUUGGUGAUAGAUUCUGGAUAUGCUCAUCUUCCCAACUAGAUGGGCUCCUAGAAGUAGGGCCUGUGGUAAUCCUGAUUUCCUUGGCCCCAGCACAAUAUUAACACAGAAUAGAUGCUCAACAUGUUUUGGCCAAAUGAGGGAACAUACUUGGGAAUCGACCUUCUUUUGCUUUUAGGUCAGUGGAUCCCAAGAAGGGUUCACUUCUCUGAGUGAUCAAGCUUAGGAAUGAGGUGGAGUGAGAGCGGUUUUGCAUCAAAAUAAUGACUUAGGGAAGACAAAGGGUAAAAUCGAAGUUGGAAAAGAUGUGUCAAAAACCCUGUAGGUGGAUUGUAAGAAAAAGUGGAGGCCAAGGCUGGGGUUGGUCAGGGAGGGAGUGUUUUGAAUAUCUUGGACUGCAUUUUGAAACAAUGGGUGAUGAUUAGGCCCCGGAAGGCGAUGCUGUACUAGACUGAGGAGUUAAGGGUAGAGUGGGGAAGAGGAGACCAACAGAGCAAGCCAACGAUAAGGCUAGAUUGGCGUUUGGGGGGAGAUGAUAAUAAAUGAUCCCGAAGGCAAACCACGUGAGUUUAAAUUUUAUAAAAUGUGACAAGGAUUUUAUAAAAUAGCAAGUCCUUAUGUGGCAGAAACAGGACAAAAACAUGGGCAGCUGCCAAACUGAAGGCCUGAGAAGAAAGAGCAUCAAGAUGGCCAGGGCCCUGCUAAGGAUAUCUCGAGGAAGGGACAUCGUGGGGACCAGCAGGGAGCUGAGGAACACAGGAGGUAAAGUGUCCUACGGGGCACUGCAGUUGGUUGUUGUGUGGGAGGGAGAGGGCUGUCACUCAGUGUGCACCAUCCGCUUACCCCUGGGCUCAGGGAAGAUGAUGUGUUUGUCAUCCCUGAUGAAUGAGUCUGGCUUCUGUUUUUAGAAACCUUUGGAAUAUAUUCUACAACUUCCCUCAAUAACUCAUUUUAGCCUUUAAUGGGUCUCCAGGCCAGGAGAAUCCUCCUCCCAUCCAAAACAGCAAUUCCUCACUUGAGAAGCACAUUCCCCCGCCCCCCCCUCAUUCUUUCCUGAGCUGAGAUGAAUUCAGAGUAAGGUGUGGUUACUAUUUCCUGUUGUGAAUCCUUCAUACACGGGAGGACUAGUUCCCAGUCCCUGCUUCUCCUCUCCAACAAAACAAAACAAAACAAAACAAAGAUUUUGGUUUAUUUAAGGUUUUCUCAUGGGGCCAUUAAUUAUCUCUGUGGUUCUUCCCUAGUCUCUUUCUUGGGUGUUUCCUUGGCCAUGAAGUACCAAACUGGGCAUUGAGAGAUAAAGGGAAGUAUAGCAGGAUAAAUGGAGACUGCAGAGUCAGACCUAGGUUUUAAUAACAGCUUUCCUGCUAUUAAAUAUGUUAUAAAUCUAACAGUGUUUAUUUCCUGGAGGAUACUAUGAUUGUCCACAAUAAGUCUUAAUUACUUGUAUAAAGAAAAGUUUUUAAAUAAGUUGUACAUCUAUUUUUAUAAAAACAUAUUAUCACAAAUAUUUAAAAAUAUGUGUAUCAAGUAAACUGCUGAAAUAUACCAGAAAGGUAAUAUUGUGUUUCUGAGUGAUGGCACUAUGUGUGAUUGGUUUCUUCUUUAACUUUUUUUUUUUUUUAGAUUUUAUUUAUUCAUUCAUGAGAAAUACAUAGAGAGAGGCAGAGACAUAGGCAGAGGGAGAAGCAGGCUCCAUGCAGGGAGCCCAAUGUGGGACUCGAUCCUAGGACCCCAGGAUCACAUCUAUGCUCAACCAUUGAGCAACCCAGGCAUUCCUCUUCUUUAACUUUUCUGAAGUUUACAAAUUAUUUACAAUGAUAUUUCAAUGUAUUAUGUAAUCAUACUUUAUGAUACAGUACUAAGUUAUAUAAUGAUAAAUGCAUCGAAAAAAUUUUAUCAAGAUAAAUGAAGAGGAAAAAAAAGCACAUUGUCUAUUGCUGUAUUGAUGACUCAUGUCCUAUGACCAAUAGAUAUUUAUCUAUCCCUUUCAGAGCAUCACCAAAUCUCAGUGUUUUUAAGGCUUCUGAGUCACCUAAGAUGACUAUUAUUUGAUGUAGGAUCUAUCUUUGUAAUAUGUAAAUAUUAAAAAUAAUAAUAAUAAUUAAUAUCAAUGUGCCAAGCCUUUGCAAUAAGCACUUUGAAUGCAUUGCUUCAUUGAAGGUUCGAGAUAAUUCUAUGGUACUUAGGUAAGGUACUUGUAGUAGGGAGAAUAAUGUCCUGAAAAUGUCCGUGUUCGAAUGCUUGGGAGCUGUGAAUAUGAUCAUUUAUAUGGCAAAAGGCAAUUAAAGUUGAAGGUGGAAUUGAAAUGGUCAGUCAGCUGACCUUGAGAUAGGGAGAUGAUCCUGAAUUAUCUGAGUGGGUCCAGUAUAAUCACAAGGGUCUAUUUAAGUGGAAGAGGGAGGCAGAAGGAGAUUGUGAGAAGGAUGCCAUGUAGAGAAAGACUCGAUAGGCCAUUGCUGGCUUUAAAGAAAGAAGGGGGCCCCAGACAACCCCUAGAUGCAAGAAAAGGUAAGGAAAUGGAUUUCCCCCUGGAGCCCCCAGAAAGGAAUGCAGCCCUGAGGAUACGCUGAUUUUUAACCCAGUGAGACCUAUUUCAGAUUUCUGACCCCCAGAACUACAAUAUAAUAAAUUAGUGUAGUAAUGUGCUAUAGCAUCCAUAGGAAACAACAACAACAAAAAAGUUAUUAUAUCCCAAUUUUACAGGUGAGCAGACUAAGGCUUAGAAAAGUAACUUGAUUAAGGUCACAUAUAAGUGGUUAUGACAACAUCAGCAUUUGAAUCCAGGUUGUCUGGUGAUAGCACCUGUACCCUAGGGCACCUGGCCUCACUGGAGCCCCAGAUGUUUGUCCAGCAUCGGCCAGAAUAUUAAAAUCUGAAAAUGCUCUCAUAAGUAGCCCCCUAUACUUAAGAUGGCUCUAAGUAGUAGAACUGAUGUCCUGUAUUUAGUGGUCCUUCCAGCCAUUUUCCUCAUUGAUUUGUCAGACCAAAUUACUUAAUUCCUCCUUAAUGAGAAAUACUUUUUAAAUAUUUGAGGUCAGUAAUCACUUCUCCCUAAGUCUUUUCUUCUCUGGGUGAAACAAUCCCUGAUUCAGUCUUUUCCUUAAAAGAAGACAUUAAAUUCCAGCACUUUCUUGACCUCUUCCUUCUGGAAAGCAUCCACAGUGUCACACCCAUUUGAGGACCAGCCAGUUCUUAACCUUACUUUGAGUUUCUUCCAUGAGCUUAUCAUGCUGACCUAAACCCUUCUGAACUUGAUUAUAUAUUACACCUUGAGCUCUUUGACGGAAAUAUUUCUAAAAAUCAGUAAAUACUGAUAAUUUUUGGAUUAUCUGUUUUUUUUUAAAGGUUUUAUUUAUUUAUUCAUGAGAGACACAGAGAGAGGCAGAGACACAGGCAGAGGGAGAAGCAGGCUCCCUGUGGGGAGCCGAUGCAGGACUCAAUCCCAGGACCCCGGGAUCACACCCUGAGCCAAAAGCAGAUAGAUGCUCAACCCCUGAGCCACGCAGGUGCCCCUGGAUUAUCUGUCCUAAAUACGUGAAAAUAUAGCUUGUUUUCAAGUUCCUUUUGAUAUUAUCACAAACUAAUUUCACUCUUUAUCGACAGGAAUCCUACCUUUCUUGUUUUAGUCCGGCAGGGGCUAGAAGAAAAGGCCUGCUAAGCUACAAUAAGGAGCUGUUUUGGCAAACGAGCAACUUUGUAAGGAGCCUCGAGAUUAUCAUAGGCUCCUUGUGUGUACCAGUCUGAGAAGCUGUGCUACUGUUCUAAUGGACUGGGGGGCCAGAAGGAAAAUAAAGCAAAUGUCAAGAGCCAAUGUGAUUUUGGAGCACCUGGAUGGCUCAGUCGGUUAAGCACCUGACUCCUAAUUUUGGCUCAGGUCAUGAUGUCAGGGUCACAAGAUCAAGCCCUGCAUUCGGCUCUGUGCUCAGUGCUAAGUCUGCCAGAGAUUCUCUCCUCUUCUCCCUCUAUCCCCCCCCCCCUCUUUCUCAAAUAAAUAAAUCUUUAAAAAAAAAGUCAAUGUGAUUUUAUCAUAUUAUUAAAAUACUAUGAAUCUUUAGGAUAGAGAGACCUGCACACAAAUAUUAGUAACAGCCUCCUAAAAUUUUCAAUCUAAAUGAUCCAUGUUGCUGUUCCCUUGUUUCUGCAAAUAAUCAAGGGCUGACUGUAAACAAAGAAGACAGCCAAGAAAAACCCCUGAACUUAUGCAGUUGCAUAAUGAUGAAUGUUUGGUGAAAAAAACAUGAACCCAUAUUUCAUUCAUUUAACUCCAUGAAUCUCUUCCAAGAAGGGGUAGGGAGGGUGGCAGAUAAACAUUUGUGUGGGCUAGUAUAUAAACAUUCCAGUAAUUAAGUAGGCUGCUCUGUCAGAACUGACUUGAAGAGUCAAAGGUACUUGAACACAAAACAUGAGGUUUGCAUUUCCUUUUUAAAUACCUACAGGAGUAAGAAUAAAAAUAGAAAUGCCACAAUCAACUUCAUUUGGGGCUUUUCUGAAUCCCAAAUGUUUGAAAAAAUAGUUUGAUAUAUUGAGGGAAACAGGUGCAGACAGUUUGGACCCUCUGGGUACUGAGGGCAGGUCUCUCGAGGGUGCCAAGUAUUAGGGAGGAGCAAAACUCAACUCAGGGCACAGAAUGACACCUCCAAUGGUGAGGAUUUUAACCCUGCUUCGUUCGUCUGCUGCUAUUGUAUCUUUAUGCUUUGGGAAAGUCAAACGUCUGGGCUGUAACACUAGGCUACCUCAAAGGGCUCCUGGAAAGAAUAACUUAGAAUGGUUUCCUUUUUAGAUUAUAAAAAAGAAAGAAAAUCUUAUGUAAAUGGUGAUAAAGUCUAUGCUUGUGACUGCAGAACAUAGUACAGGCAUUCAAGAGGGGAGGCCCUUUGAUUUCCAGAAUUGUAUGAUUUGAGCUUUACCGGCUUCUAUUUUGCCUCCCACAGAACAUUGCUGUGUUCAUCUAAAGUAAGAGAAGAGGUGCUCGGUGGGUGAGGGUAGAGUCAAUAUGAAUGAAGAGUCGUUACAUCAUGUGUCUGACUGACCUUGACCAUCCCCCUACCCACCAACAGUACACUCCUUGCCUCCAGCUGGUAAGCCCCUAGGUAUCCGUCGAGCCCGUGGCUCCUGUCCUGUGACUCCACCUUACUCACUCUUAUCUGUUCCUCCUGCUACCAUGUCAGCUGGGGUCUGGGACCCCAGCCUUGAUCCUAUCUCUAGCCUUGGCUUGGCAUUUGGACUUAGAAUCUCAGGUAUUCAGACCCCAGAUCUCUGCCUCUGGCUUUAAUGGGCAUUUUCUCUGUAGCUCCAGUUCUAUGGAAUCCAAAUCCAUCCCAGCUAAUUGAUGCCAUACUCUCACCCCUUCGGAGAGGGAUUUAGAUAGAUUCAGUGUAUCACAGAUGGGGUUGCUUCCAACUUUUAGUUGUUCUCCAACUUUUCAGUUCCAGGGCCAUGCCAAUAAAGCAAAGACUUCAUGAUGACCGAAUCCCACUAGCCACUCUAUCAGAAAAGCCUGUCACUGGCAAUUUAAGGCAAUGCUUUCCUCAUGCUAGUUAUUCAGCAACACUCAACAACAGAUGUUUAUUGAUUGCCUACUGUGUGCCAUGAACUUAUACAUGAUCUCAUUAUACUUAUAGCAACCUUGCAGGAUUUUCAGGGGAGGAAGCAAAGGAUUAAAGAGAUUAAGUAACUUGCCCAAGGUCACACAGCUAGUAAGUGGCAGAGCCAACUUUGAAUGCCAACUUAGACUAUACCCUGCUGCCUCAUUCUAUAAAUAACUGUUAAGUGCUUAGUUAUUUGCAAGAUGUAUUUCCAACCUCUUAAGGUCUCAUGCUACAUUAGGGCUUCUGGGGGAACCCCUCAUCAAUUACUUCACGGGCCUGAUUCCAAGAAAGCUAACACUCCAGAGUCUAUUAAUUACCCAAGAGCUUUGGGGAAAGGUGGUCAGCUUUUGGUAGGAAUGAGGUACGGUUUCGGUCCCUUUGAAGUGCCUAACAGGAAGUAUCUUGCCUCAGCCUAAACUGCUGAGGGACAUAUUCAAGUGGAUGGCACUCAACAGGUUUGGAAUAACACAUUCCUCAAGUGCUCUGAGCUUCUGAGCAACAACGAAAAAAUUCCAUAGUUAGGCUUCUCUUUCUGGACAUUCAACCACAGUGACUUUGGAAUUUGGUAGCUUCCAUGUAUAUAUUCCGUAUAUUAAAAAAGUUCUUCACAGAGAGUUAAUCCAGAAACUCCACAGAGGACUGGUUCUUAGCUAGCUGGAAGACUUCAGUGGUGUCAUCAGCUCAUCUGCUAAUACUGACGACUGCCUGUUUGAGGGACUGAUCAUCCCUUUCCUCCUCCCGAGCUAAAGCCCUCUUUCCUCCAUAAUCUUAUCUUUAUUGCAAACUUCCCCCCUGCGAGCCCUGGUGAAUGUGAGGUUUUUUUUUUUUUUUUUUUUUUUUUUUUUAAAUAAAUUCCUUCCUCUUUGCCAGGGCCAGCUUAUGGAAGAAACAUGCAUAGAUGCAAGGAGACCCCCCCCCCCUUAGGAGGGCCCUGUACUUGGUUUAAUUAAUGCUCUACUGUCGUAGACUUGAAAUUCUUAAUAGUUUUGUUCAAAGGGCCCUACAUUUUAACAUUGCACAAAUCAGAUAUUCGGUCCUGCUCUGUGCUUAGACACUAGGAUAGGGAGAAGAGUCAUACCACAUAAGUUAAGAGUGGGUAGUGUACCUGUGGUCUCCCUUUGGAACUCAGCAGGCACUUUCCCACAGAGAUAAUCCAUAAAGAUGGGCAGACUUGAUAAAAGCUCUACUCUUCUUAGCCUCAAUAUUUUCAUCUCCAAAAUGGAGACAGCAGCACUUGCCCUUGCAUGUGAUUGUGAGCAUUGCAGCGGCCCAUGUAUGUAGUACCCAUCAGAGUGUUUGAUACACAAUAGGCAUUUGAUAAAUGAAAUCCAUGGGAGACAGCAGGGGCAGAAAACUGAGUUUGAACUCUGGAGGAGUUCGGAGCUAGCUUAGAAUCAUAUCAGCUCUGGUGUUUGAAAAGAUGUAUGACUUCAGUUAAGUGACUUGGCUUCUCGCAGCCUCAGCGUCUUUAUCUAUAAAAUGCUUUUAUCUAAUAUUUAUCUUGUAGAGUGAUCUUGAGAUUUCGAAACUAUAAUGUAUUUAACGAACCUAGUUUAUCCCCUGGCACCUAGAAGAGCUCAAAAAAUAACAGUUCUCAGGAUGGUUCCUUUGUAACAUUAUUUCUAAACAAUUCAUUUAUAAGUGAUGUAGGGAUACAGCCAUUAAUAAGUGUCUUAUACUAUCCAACUUCUUUUACGCUGUAUGACCUAGAAAAUGGAACCCCCUCAUAUGUGCAGAUCACUUUGUAAAAAAUAUUUGAAGAUUAUUCUUCCUUCUUUGCUUGACUGUGAAUUCCCUGAAGGCAGGAAUCAGGUCUUAUUUAUCCUUGUAGCCUGGAACACCUUCUAACACAUGUUAGACUCGCAGCUGAGUUAAAUCUGUCUUCUGCUGUUUAUGCCAACAACAAGAUGAUAAUUUUUCAUAAUAUUUCUAAAUUAGCAAUUAUUAGCCUGUCAAUGAUUAUGAAGUAGAAUGUACCCAAAAUAGCCCUAUCUCUGCUAUUAAAGGCCUUUUUGUCCUUGCCCAUCACACUUGGCUCAUGUUCCUGCAUUCUUGGGUGUGAUUCUUAAUCUAUUAGCAAAGCUAUUCCACUAGGGAACAGAACUCGGUUUCGAACAACCAAUCACCUUCUCUGGCAACAACCUGUGUAGAGAAGCCACUGGAGGAAGAAUUUCCUAAAAGCCCAACCAAACCCCAAGGUCCCUUUUAGGAUUCAAGGCGGCCUCAGAAUUGUGACCUUUAACUGAGAGGGCUUUGGGUCCCUGCAAGAGCCUUCUGAUCGUUAUGGACUUUCUCUCCAGAAAAAGAUAGUCAAUGUCUUCUAUUCAAUUUCAAGGUGUUCUCAGAGUUUCUGCAGCCCUUGUACCUUAGGUUAAGAAUUCUUGUUAGACUAGCCCAGAAAACUGAAUGAGCCAUGUGAAAGAUUCAAGUUUCCUGAUAAAUUCUAGCCCUGAGUAGUUACACUCCCUUGUUCAAAGCAAAGCAAAACAAAACAGUUACAACUCCCUAGAUUUAACCUCAGAAUUAUCCCAGAGGGCCCAGUGUGGCACCUUAACUGUAAGAACAUCCAGCCAAGCAGUGACUACUCUCUGGAAAACCUAAGUGCAGCCGAGUAAAACGAAGCCUUGUUUAAUAAUAUCGUUUACAUUUCCAAAUCCCGGGUAUCAAGCUUUCUUCCUAUCCCUUGUGGCCCUUCCUAAGUUUAGCCGUUGGUGUAAUGGUGUAACCAUGGCAACAACCACCUGCCUAUUUAAAACCAUCUCCAAAGCUAAAUAAGGAAGCCUGGAAAAAAUGGCUGCUCGCCUGCCUCUCAGUGGACAAACUGGGCACUCAUGAGUAUUUUCAACAUGAGCAAGCAGGCAGGGUGGAAGCAGCAUGGACUCAAAGUUCUUACUAGGAAGGGGUCUAGGACCUUGUGAAACAGGACCCAUUUCUAUGUCACUAGGUCUCCACUUACUUGCAGGCACAUGGAUUUGUGUGUAAAUCUGGAUUUACACACAAAUCCGUGUGCCUGCCAUGCCAGGCGACCGUACUACCUUGACCUCGACCAGGGGAAGGGUGGGCCCUGAACUGCAGAAUAGUCUUAUUAAUAGAACUAGGAAAGUGGAAGGAAAAACAGUCACCAGAUCAUAGUGAAAUGCACAAUUGCAACUCUUCUUCUCACAGAGGGAGGUAUCUUUCUAAUUAUAUUUAAUCAUGUGGACAGUUGACAAUUACUCUCUUCAUGUCAUAUGUUGACCCGUCUAUUGAUCUUUGGAAUAUGGAGAAAUUUCUCCCUCCUUCUGCUUUCUCAUUCUCUACCUACUAUAGAGGUUUUGCUUCUUCCCUGCCAAAAGACCAGCACGGCUUGCUCUUCCCCAAGCAUCCUGCUUUCUCUCACUCAUUGUUAUCCUUUUAUAGUUGGUUCCUUCUCUCUGGGCUGCCCUUCUCUUUUUGUCAACCUGAAAAAUACAUACUUGUUUUCCAUGUCUCGGCAUCUCUAUAGAUAGAAGCCCUUCCAUACCAAAUUCCAUGUCCUUGCUUUGUGUUCCCAUAAGUCAGCUUGAUUCGUACCAUUGAACACAAGUCACUCUGCAUAUCUUCCUUCUGGUCUGCACCACCGGACUGCGAGCCCCUACACAUGUCUGUCCAAAACACCUACAGAACAGUGCCUGGCACAGAGUAUGUUUUCAAAAGCUAGUGUUGAAUGAAUGAAUGAGCAGAACCCUUAUGGAUUUCACAAGCAUAUGGCAUCUUAACAAGUAUGUGUGCAUGAGUAUGCAUAAGGGCCCCCCUGUGAAAAGAGUGCCUAAAAGGUCUACAAUGGGUGGAAGAGAAGAAAUAAUUUAGCGUGUAUGUGAGAGUGACAAAGGAUGUACAAGAAGGGUCAGCUGAUUACAGUAAGAGUGGGGGGUGAACACAUACCUGUUAAUAGUGAUUUGUGAGUGUGCAUGGGCUGUGUGUGCGAGCCUGACGGAAUAUGCCUGGCACAGAAGACCCACCCUAAGAAGAUGAGUUUAGCUAGUAGAUUCCACAGAUCUCAGAUCGCUUUUCCUGAAACUGAAGAAUGUUACGAUAGGACUUUUUACCCCUGUUAACCUCCUAGGUGGCGGUGGGGGGUGGUGGAUAUUGUCAGGGGAAAGGAGUAGGAAUGAAAAUGAUGGCACUCUUUGGGGGGGUGUGAGGCUUUAAAUAAAUGUCUUCCGACAAUACUGGACCUCUGCUCGGAAGAGAAUCCUAUGGGCUAUAUAAGUCACUCCCUCAGGCUAAGUCUGCAUUCCUCCCCCCCACCUGCUGGAGGGUGGGGUGGGAUCCAAUGGUCAUCUUGAAAUGGUACAACACAGAGGAAAAGGGAUGGAAAUCAAAGAGAAGGAAAAAAAAAAAGGAAAGAAGAAUGGAGAAAGGUAUUUUAGCAGUCCCGGGGUAGCUAUAUGCCAGUCACAACUCACUUCUCGCAUAUCCCCUCCCACCAGCAAGAAGGAUUUAGUUUUGCUUGCAAAAAAUCUGGUUUUCUCUCUCGUGUUUUUGGACCUAACAUCCAGGCUUCACACAGGGGCUGAGGCUGGGACUUGGGGGGCUCCUGGUGUCCCAGCCCCUGCAGGGGCCUCCCUCUGCUGCCCUCUGCUGUUAGGGGGCAGGACACAGAGGCGACGCCCUCUCUGCCCUCCUGGCCCGGCCUACUCCCUCCACCCCCCCUCCCCUGCUGCCACCCCCUCCCUUCCAGAGAGGCUGAGGCCCCAGCCAUGCAGCCUGCUCCUCCCCACAGAAAUUCCAGGGGGCCGAGGCUGCAGCAGCUUUCCAUCUGGAGAAUGCGGCCAAGCCCCAGGAGGGGGUUCCAGCUAGCCAGGCGCAGGUCCCCACCCCACGAGGCGGGCACAGCGCGCCCUCCCUGCCCGCCCGCAGUCCCUCCCUCUUCACAGCAUCCUCUGCGAGGGGACAGGCGGCCAGGCUGCUGCAGGUUUCUGACACCGUUUUUCUGCUUGGAAAUGGAAACCCUCCUUCCGGCAACGUGGCAGGAAAGCCAAGUCCCUGGGUGGCCGGGCCAAGAACGUUCGGGGUGUUUCUCUCUCAUCACGUGGAAUCUGUGUGCGAUGGAAGCAUCCUGAAAGGGAAGGAGAAGAAAGCGGCCGCCGGAUGAGUGGUCAUGACCAUGCAAAAGGACUUUCCCCAAAGUCAAGAAGAAUCUCACUGCUACCUUCUAUGGACACUCUGCUGUCCUCUUAUUUGCACACCCCUAGCUGCACUAUUGACCACCUGCUCCUCAGAACUCACGAUUGGGAAGGCUUCCAGGACACCAUGCUUCUGAGUUUUGCAUCCUCUGACCAGAACUUCUCCGCCCUGAGUUCCAUCUGCAGCCUACACUCCAUGUCAUGGACCAUCUCGAGUUCUCAUACUUACUCCUAGUGUGUCAUGUCUCUAUAAUGUUGAUCUCUAGAAUCAUCCCUGAGCUUCAGACCUAACACUGAGCUCAUCUACUCAUCUUUCUUCCUCACACUUGGUCUUUCACCCUCAUUAAUGGUCUCAUUUUCCAGCAGAAGAAUGAGUUGCGUCCCUUCACUGCUCAGGCCUCAUGUCAACGCGUUGGGUGCAGGUGGUGGGUUUUAGAAAGAGA